rnacentral:rRNA from 1 species
GACGAACGCUGGCGGCGUGCCUAAUACAUGCAAGUAGAACGCACAGUUUAUACCGUAGCUUGCUACACCAUAGACUGUGAGUUGCGAACGGGUGAGUAACGCGUAGGUAACCUGCCUGGUAGCGGGGGAUAACUAUUGGAAACGAUAGCUAAUACCGCAUAAUAUUAAUUAUUGCAUGAUAAUUAAUUGAAAGGUGCAAUUGCACCACUACCAGAUGGACCUGCGUUGUAUUAGCUAGUAGGUGAGGUAACGGCUCACCUAGGCGACGAUACAUAGCCGACCUGAGAGGGUGAUCGGCCACACUGGGACAGAGACACGGCCCAGACUCCUACGGGAGGCAGCAGUAGGGAAUCUUCGGCAAUGGACGAAAGUCUGACCGAGCAACGCCGCGUGAGUGAAGAAGGUUUUCGGAUCGUAAAGCUCUGUUGUAAGAGAAGAACGGGUGUGAGAGUGGAAAGUUCACACUGUGACGGUAUCUUACCAGAAAGGGACGGCUAACUACGUG